rnacentral:rRNA from 1 species
AUUGAACGCUGGCGGCAGGCCUAACACAUGCAAGUCGAACGGUAGCACAGAGAGCUUGCUCUCGGGUGACGAGUGGCGGACGGGUGCGUAACGUCUGGGAAACUGCCCGAUGGAGGGGGAUAACUACUGGAAACGGUAGCUAAUACCGCAUAACGUCGCAAUACCAAAGUGGCGGACCUUCGGGCCCCACACCAUCGGAUGGCCCAAGAUGGGAUUGGCUAGUAGGUGGGGUAAUGGCUCACCUAGGCGACGAUCCCUAGCUGGUCUGAGAGGAUGACCAGCCACACUGGAACUGAGACACGGUCCAGACUCCUACGGGAGGCAGCAGUGGGGAAUAUUGCACAAUGGGCGCAAGCCUGAUGCAGCCAUGCCGCGUGUAUGAAGAAGGCCUUCGGGUUGUAAAGUACUUUCAGCGGGGAGGAAGGCGGUGAAGUUAAUAGCUUCACCGAUUGACGUUACCCGCAGAAGAAGCACCGGCUAACUCCGUGCCAGCAGCCGCGGUAA